GUGCGAUCAUUAUGAACUUGGAUGUUGCAGGUAGAACAUAUAUAGGAAACAUGAUUUCCCUAGUUUCCACAUGCAUUACAAAAGAAUGGGUUAUUUGGCCUUAAUAACAAAAUGAAAGGGUGGGGCGAUUAUGAUGAGAUUUAUCUUCAAUAAUGGGUGGUGGCCAAGCACACGUACAGUGGAUGUAGAACUUGCAAGGGACACAAUGAUAA